rnacentral:rRNA from 1 species
AUUGAACGCUGGCGGAAUGCUUUACACAUGCAAGUCGAGCGGCAGCACGGGGGCAACCCUGGUGGCGAGUGGCGAACGGGUGAGUAAUACAUCGGAACAUGCCCAGUCGUGGGGGAUAACACUUCGAAAGAAGUGCUAAUACCGCAUACGUCCUGAGGGAGAAAGCGGGGGAUCUUCGGACCUCGCGCGAUUGGAGUGGCCGAUGUCAGAUUAGCUAGUUGGUGGGGUAAAGGCCUACCAAGGCAACGAUCUGUAGCUGGUCUGAGAGGAUGAUCAGCCACACUGGGACUGAGACACGGCCCAGACUCGUACGGGAGGCAGCAGUGGGGAAUUUUGGACAAUGGGGGCAACCCUGAUCCAGCCAUUCCGCGUGAGUGAAGAAGGCCUUCGGGUUGUAAAGCUCUUUCGGCAGGAACGAAACGGCGAGCUCUAACAUAGCUUGCUAAUGACGGUACCGUAAGAAUAAGCACCGGCUAACUACGUGCCAGCCGCCGCAGUAAUAC